AUAGGCUAAGGUCAGAGAGCUGUUGGAGUUUAGUUUGGGAUCUGAACCACAGGAUUGUGCUUCAUGUCCAUAAGUGAAGGGGGGAAUGAAGAGUUAAAAGU